UUAAAGGUAUAAGAAAACGACAAAAAAUACGGAAGAGUAUAUUAAUGAUAUGUAACGUCAUGAAAAGGAUGGCUAGGAGGAGAAGAGAAGAGAAGAGGAUAUUGAAUGAAGGGUAUGAAUAAAACCCAGGUGUUUAAUUUCAAUGGUUGGCUUCAUGUGAAAAUUCAAAGUUGAAACCGUAACCGACCGGAAACCAUGGCAGAGAUUGAUUCAAGCAAGCCAACUGUCAAUGGUGCCAAACCCUUACAACCUAAAAGCAGCACAUAGUUUGUUUCACCUUUAACGUUAUAUAAAGUUUACAAGCCUGGGUUUGUAUCGACAAAGAAUCUAUCCUCUAACUUGUUUUAUUUGAG
rnacentral:lncRNA from 1 species